AUACGUAGGUGGCAAGCGUUGUCCGGAAUUAUUGGGCGUAAAGCGCGCGCAGGCGGUCCUUUAAGUCUGAUGUGAAAGCCCACGGCUCAACCGUGGAGGGUCAUUGGAAACUGGGGGACUUGAGUGCAGAAGAGGAAAGUGGAAUUCCAAGUGCAGCGGUGAAAUGCGUAGAGAUUUGGAGGAACACCAGUGGCGAAGGCGACUUUCUGGUCUGUAACUGACGCUGAGGCGCGAAAGCGUGGGGAGCAAACAGGAUUAGAUACCCUGGUAGUCCACGCCGUAAACGAUGAGUGCUAAGUGUUAGGGGGUUUCCGCCCCUUAGUGCUGCAGCUAACGCAUUAAGCACUCCGCCUGGGGAGUACGGUCGCAAGACUGAAACUCAAAUGAAUUGACGGGG
rnacentral:rRNA from 1 species